rnacentral:rRNA from 1 species
CCUACGGGAGGCAGCAGUGAGGAAUAUUGGUCAAUGGGCGAGAGCCUGAACCAGCCAAGUCGCGUGAGGGAGUACUGCCCUAUGGGUUGUAAACCUCUUUUGUCGGGGAGCAAAAGCCGGACGUGUCCGGCUGUGAGAGUACCCGAAGAAAAAGCAUCGGCUAACUCCGUGCCAGCAGCCGCGGUAAUACGGAGGAUGCGAGCGUUAUCCGGAUUUAUUGGGUUUAAAGGGGGCGCAGGCGGAUUUUUAAGUCAGCGGUAAAAUCGUGGGGCUCAACCCCAUCCAGCCGUUGAAACUGGGGAUCUAGAGUGUGCGAGAGGUAUGCGGAAUGCGUGGUGUAGCGGUGAAAUGCAUAGAUAUCACGCAGAACCCCGAUUGCGAAGGCAGCAUACCGGUGCACAACUGACGCUCAGGCACGAAAGCGUGGGUAUCGAACAGGAUUAGAUACCCCUGUAGUC